rnacentral:rRNA from 1 species
UACGGAGGAUCCAAGCGUUAUCCGGAAUCAUUGGGUUUAAAGGGUCCGUAGGCGGUCUAGUAAGUCAGUGGUGAAAGCCCAUCGCUCAACGGUGGAACGGCCAUUGAUACUCUGGACUUGAAUUAUUGGGAAGCAACUAGAAUAUGUAGUGUAGCGGUGAAAUGCUUAGAGAUUACAUGGAAUACCAAUUGCGAAGGCAGGUUGCUACCAAUUGAUUUGACGCUGAUGGACGAAAGCGUGGGUAGCGAACAGG